GCGGGGGUUCCCGAGCGGCCAAGCACUAGACUGCUUGCGAAGAUCGCGCGGGUAGUCAUGGGCCAAAGGGGCAGGGCUUAGGACCCUGUGACUUAGUGUCUUCAAGAGUUCGAAUCUCUUCCCUCGCA
rnacentral:tRNA from 1 species